rnacentral:rRNA from 1 species
UACGUAGGGCGCAAGCGUUGUCCGGAAUUAUUGGGCGUAAAGAGCUCGUAGGCGGUUUGUCGCGUCUGCUGUGAAAACCUGAGGCUCAACCUCGGGCUUGCAGUGGGUACGGGCAGACUAGAGUGCGGUAGGGGUGACUGGAAUUCCUGGUGUAGCGGUGGAAUGCGCAGAUAUCAGGAGGAACACCGAUGGCGAAGGCAGGUCACUGGGCCGCAACUGACGCUGAGGAGCGAAAGCAUGGGGGGCGAACAGG